rnacentral:rRNA from 1 species
GGAAAGAAUUAUUCAAGCAUUAUUCAAGCCGGAGACCCGGCCAAAGGGCACUGUACUAAACUAACUAAAGUGGGGGAUAGUGAGGGGAUAAAUUUCCUUAAGGAACUCGGCAAAAUCCCAAUGGCCCACCAGGGCAUACUACCCCACCCCCGCCUUAGGCGAGGGGUGGGCAGUAUUGGAACACGGGCCUCGACUGUUUACCAAAAACAUAGCCCUCGGCCAAUAUGAAAAUAGAUGUAUAGAGGGUGAGGCCUGCCCAAUGGUUGUAUCUAAAAGCGGUUGAUAAAAGUCGACCUCGUAAGGACAAUUGAAUGGCCGCGGUAACACUGACCGUGAUAAUGUAGCGUAAUCAAUAGCCAAUUAAUUGUUGGCCAGUAUGAAUGGCGCCACGAAGGCCCCACUGUCUUAAGGAAAUUCCCAGUGAAAUUGAAUUCGUAGUGAAGAUGCUACGUCCAAUUUGUUAGACGAAAAGACCCCGUUGAGCUUUACUGGGGCACUUACACGGCCCCGGCCUUCCAAACUAGGCUUACGAUGCCUAGGGAUUGGCCGAAUUUAAAUGGGCGGUUUAGACUAUGUGGCAGCCCCCCGUCGGGGCAGAUGAAACCCCACUCCCCCAUGUCAAAGGGGCUAACCCCCCCCUUGGGGGGGACAGUGUAAGUAGGACAGUUUGGUUGGGGCGACCGCCUUUUAAAGAGUAACGAAGGUGCGCUUAAGGUGCGCAAAUAAUGACUGAAGCCUGACUGCGAGGGGGACACCCCGAGCAGACACCCCCAAGCCCGCCCGAAGGGCGGCGGCGGGGUGGGCCAUAGUGACCCGUUAAUUUAGAGUGGAAUAGUUAACGAUCAACGAAUAAAAGUUACCACGGGGAUAACAGCGUAAUAUCGUUAGAGAGUUCACAUCGACGACGAUGUUGCGACCUC